GUGGUGUAAAACGGACGAAGUUUACCAUCCAGUUUGCAAAGGGAUAAAAUCACUAGGAUUAAUCAAGAGUGCAUUAUAUAUAUAAAUCCCUUUAUCCGAUUUAAUUAAGCUUUUACUAAUAGUAGUUUCUUUAAGUAGUGCUUCCAUGGACACUGAGGUCAUUCCGCUGCUGAUGAAAUCCCAACAUAGAAUUGAACCUAAUCCGGUUGAUCUCUCUUUUUCUGUCCUCAAAAGUAGUGCAUAAAUAUACAUACAAUGUGUUUACAAUAGUUUGUCUAUGUAUACAAUGUUGGUUGAAAUCUAUCGAUAAAUUCUGUAGUAUGGUGUCACAUAUAAUGAUAAUGUCUAACAGGAAAUAUAUAUAUUUGGGUGAUGUCAGAGUAUAGCAUACUGUUUUUAAUUUCGCAAGCUUUAACUUUUUUUAAAAAUUUUCGUAAACAAAUGUAGUAUAAUAAUAAUAAUAAUAAUAACAAUGAUAAUAAUAAUAAUACAGCUCUAGCAAUAGGAAUUCUAAAGAAACGAAGGAAAUAUUGUUCACUUAUAGCAAGGAAAUAUUAGGGUCAAUGUUCAUGUGUUAUUUACAGUAAAUCAAAUAUUUGUUUUAGGUAGAGAUGGACUAUAUGUAAUCUGAACCUUUCCCCCACUUAUUUAUUAAUUUUUUUUUACGGAAUCCCACGUUUUAGGCUAUGGAGAUUCCGAUUCUGAAAAAAAUUUUUUGGAAAAAUUUCAAUUACCCCCCCCCCACCAAGCAGGCUAUUUACAUGCUAGAAAUAACAGCCAAAUCUCACAAAACUAGUGUUAGGGUUAGGGUUAGGGUUUGAGUUAGGGUUAGGUUUACCCUGUGGAUCUAUAUAAAAACCGGGGGUGGGGAUCGAAAUUUUGAAAUUGAGAUUUUUGAAAUUUUUUUUCCAGAAUCGGAUUCUCCAUGGUCUGAAACAUAGGAUUCCGGAAAAAAAAACAAAAUUUAAAAGGGGGGGUAUACCCAGAUUACAUAUACUCCAUCUCCACCUUGUUUUAUAUUAUGGGGGUAGUACAACCAGAAUAUAAAUAAGGAAUCAACGAAUACAGUAAAACAGACAGCUAAUUAAAUAUAUUUCACAAUGAAAAUAAUCAAAACCCAUACUUUAUUAGAAAAGACAAGGCACCUGCUUAAUUUAUAAAAAAAGUCAAUUAAUUAUAAUGAAAACGAGUAUCUUAAGUUACAUUAAAUAAUCUAUGAAAAUAAUCAAAGUCUAUGCUUAUUCGAAAAGACAAAGCAUUUGUUUACUCAUAAAAAGCCAAUUAUUUAUAAUGAAAACAAGAAUCGUAAGUGACAUCAGAUAAUCUAUCAUAAAUCAACUCACCCAUUCCGUGCCAUAAAACAACAGGAGGAUGUUGAGCACCCGCUAAAUGAAAGCAAAUUAAUACUAUUAGCAUCGCGUCGAAGUAGGUGAACCUCGCCAUUGUAUUUACGUUUGGAAA